UCCCUGAUGGUCUAGUGGUCAGGAUUUGGUGCUUUCACCGCUACGGCCCGGGUUUGAUUCCCGCUCAGAGAA
rnacentral:tRNA from 1 species